AAGAGAUUAGCUCAAUGGUAGAGCGACUGUUUUACACACAGUAGGUUGAGUGUUCGAAUCACUUAUCUCUUA
rnacentral:tRNA from 1 species